GACGAACGCUGGCGGCGUGCUUAACACAUGCAAGUCGAACGGAGUGGCGAACGGGUGAGUAAAACGUGGGUGACCUGCCCUGCACUUCGGGAUAAGCCUGGGGAACUGGGUCUAAUACCGGGUAGUGUGGGAUGGGCCCGCGGCCAAUUCGCUUGUUGGUGGGGUAAUUGCCUACCAAGGGGGCGACGGGUAGCCGGCCUGAGAGGGGGGACGGCCUCAUUGGUACUGAGAGACGGUGCAGACUCCUACGGGAGGCAGCAGUGGGGAAUAUUGCACAAUGGGCGGAAGUCUGAUGCAGCGACGCCGCGUGGGUGAUGCCGGGCUUCGGGUUGUAAACACCUUUCACCAUCGACGCGGUAGAUGGAGAAGAAGCACCGGCUAACUACGUGCCAGCAGCCGCGGUAAUAC
rnacentral:rRNA from 1 species